rnacentral:rRNA from 1 species
UACGAAGGGGGCUAGCGUUGCUCGGAAUUACUGGGCGUAAAGAGCGUGUAGGCGGUCCGGUAAGUCCGCUGUGAAAGUCCAGGGCUCAACCCUGGAAGGCCGGUGGAAACUGUCGGGCUAGAGUCCGGAAGAGGCGAGUGGAAUUCCCGGUGUAGCGGUGAAAUGCGCAGAUAUCGGGAGGAACACCAAUGGCGAAGGCAGCUCGCUGGGACGGUACUGACGCUGAGACGCGAAAGCGUGGGGAGCAAACAGG